CCGAGGGUGUUGAUGUUCGGUUUUGAGGUCAAACUAGUCUGGGGGACUAGGGGUCGUGGGUUCGAAUCCCGCCGCUCCGACCA
rnacentral:tRNA from 1 species